CAUUAAAUCGCUACUUUUGUCACAUGGUGGACCGUUUUAUUUUAUAACUCAGUAGUGAAGCAACUGAUUGAAGUACAGCAAGCACCAGUGGAUAGAGCAAGUCUUUCUUUGAUGAAUUAGGUCACAAAUUUUGGUUGCUCAAAAAUAAUCGAUUGAAAUA